rnacentral:misc_RNA from 1 species
GAUGAAGAACGUAGCGAAAUGCGAUACUUGGUGUGAAUUGCAGAAUCCCGUGAAUCAUCGAGUCUUUGAACGCAAGUUGCGCCCGAAGCCUUUUGGCCGAGGGCACGUCUGCCUGGGUGUCACGCAACGUCGCCGCCAGCACACCCUUCCCUUAGGGGAUCGUGAUGUAGCUGGGGGCGGAUUUUGGCCUCCCGUGCGCCUCAGCGCGCGCGGUUGGCCUAAAUUUCAGCUCACGGCGAGGAUCGCCACGACAAGCGGUGGUUUUUUGAACUAAGGACCUCGGGUGUUGUCGUGCGGCCUCGCGGAGAGAAGAAACCCCGUGCGCUUGCGCACAAUCUUAACGAGACCCCAGGUCAGUCGGGAACACCCGCUGAAUUUAAGCAUAUCAAUAAGCGGAGGA